GGGUCUCCACCUUUCAAAGGCCACAUGGCUAGGACAGUAAGAAGAGAACUAAUAAUUUUUCAUGGAAAUAGGUCUGUGAGAAUCAUACAGCAAAAAUGAACCAUGAAGUCGAGGAAAACUCAUUGCAGGCCAAAGAUGGUGAGCACAACUGUAAAAUUGGCCAAACAGGAUCUACCUUCGAUGCCAAAGUUGGACAAGAAAGUAGAGCUCUAUCUUGGGUCAAUGAGCACCAUCGGUGUCGGUAGAGACCUUGAGUUACUUUUCUCUCUUAUGUCCUCUCAAUAAAGCCUAACACCACUAAAUAGAUCCACAUAGAUCAACAUUAGGGUCGAUAAACUAA
rnacentral:misc_RNA from 1 species